rnacentral:lncRNA from 1 species
GAUCCCGAGCCUCUCCCGGAGUGGAAGGCUCUGAAAGAAAACAUAAAACAGGGGGCGUGAGAACUAUAAUUUAUAGUUCCCAGUGGGCAAUUACUGACCUUAGCAAAAUGCACCACUAGGCCCAAGUCAUGAGCAGUUAUAGAAAAUGAAAUAACAACUGCGGAAAUAAAAGCAUAUAAUGAAAUGCUAUACUACUAUGCCACAAGUAUACAUGAUAUGAACAUGGAGUACAUCUACUCUAUCAUGAAUCCAAUAUGCCGAUACAUAACAAGUAUGCUCUAUCAUGGCUACCAAGUAAGCUGUGAUGCAACAAGUAAUACUAUCAAGUAUACAAUAUGUCCCAAAAUUCAAUACAUAUCUAGUAUGUACUAUCAUGGCAACUAAGGGUACCACAAAUCCCAAUGUCAGCUAAAUCCAACUACGAUAUACUAUCAAGUAGUGAUUGUCAUUUAAUCGAUUAAGGUUCAUCAUUCAAUCUCAUCCAGGACCAACACAUGUGUAGUCCAACUUGUGCCGCCUAGCUGCCGGUGGUAG